rnacentral:rRNA from 1 species
CAGCCGUAAACUAUGCUCGCUAGGUGUCAGGCAUGGCGCGACCGUGUCUGGUGCCGCAGGGAAGCCCGUGAAGCGAGCCACCUGGGAAGUACGGCCGCAAGGCUGAAACUUAAAGGAAUUGGCGGGGGAGCACAACAACGGGUGGAGCCUGCGGUUUAAUUGGACUCAACGCCGGGAAGCUCACCGGAUAAGACAGCGGAAUGAUUGCCGGGCUGAAGACUCUGCAUGACUAGCUGAGAGGAGGUGCAUGGCGUAGACGUCU